UCCAGCCCCCUCUCUCCACAGCCACUAAUUCCGUGUGGAAUGUCUGUUGUGUCACAAGACUCGGUGGUGAUUUGCCUCUCUCCCGACCUCUCCAAUCACCUUCUCCUUUUCCUUCUCAUCCUGUGUGCUAAAUGACCUCUUCUUUCAUCCCUGGCAUUUGCCUUCCUGUGCUGCUGUUAUAAACUUCCUUUUCCCUUCUUGGACCCUUCAGCGCUCUAAUAAUGCCAAAGAGGAUGUCUUUUUCCUGGAUCUACUUCUCUAUCUGGUCCCUCUUUCCAGGAGGAAGCUCUCUGGGUGGCUGGACCUCCAUUCUUCCAGACCUUGUCCUGGCCAAGGAGUGUGGUUUUGAUUAUAGCUUUGGGUGGGUCAUUCGUGUCUCCCUCCGGCUCUGACCUGGCAUUUCACACGAGCCUCGUGGGCCUUUCCCUCUUGCUGUCUCUGAUUCCUCCACCUCAAAACAUCUGAGCCAAAGUCACGGCCUGGCCCCAAGCUCACUUCUCCUUCUGUGUGCUUGGCUUCAGUGAAUGGGGUCACCAACCAGUGAAGCAAACUGGAAAUGAUGUUGACAACGUUGACUCCCUUCUCGCUCUCUUCUUUCUGUGUCACGAAAGACAGUCACAAGCUGCCACGGGCUUUAUUCUCACAUGGGCUUACGUCCUUCUCCCUGCUUCUGUCCAGGGCCUACCCUCGGCUUUCCUGAGUAAAGCCCUACUCUUCCACCUGUUCUCCAUUGCUUGUGGAAGCCUCUGUACCAGUUCCACUGUUCUCCUCUCCUGUGCUGCCUCACACAGGCCCCUGCCUGCCGACAGAAUGAAUCAUGGUGGGCUUAAAUCUGCUCCCCUCUGGUGGAUUCUCAUUCUGUCAGUCAGGGAUCUCCAGAGAGACAGAGCCAACAGCAUGCAGAUGAGCAGGACUGAAGGCAGUUGGGUGCUACCCACCCCCAACCAGGAUGGAUCUGCCCACCAGGUGCACGCAGACUCACGCCAGUCCCCUGGAGAAGUUCUGCGGAAGCACACAGAAAUAAUUAUUUAGCCAAGUGUGGUGGCCCAUGCCUGUAAUCCCGUCACUGUGGUUACGCUGAGGCAGGAGGAUCACAAGGUCAAGGCUAGCCCGGGCAAUUGAAUAAAACCCUGUCUCAAAAUAAAAAAUUAAAAGGGCUGGGGAUGUGGCUCAGUGCGAUGCCCCUGGGUUCAACCCCCAGUACCACAAAACAACUACAGUAACAAAAGCUUUUCCGGGUUUUUACGCAUUUCUUACUACUUGACCCCUAAAAUGAACCAUCACGCUCACUUUCCAGGCUCUUUUGCAGCACAGAGUGCAGAUGUGAUUCAGUUCCCGCCACUAAGAUAUAGAGGGGAAGCCUGGGCAAAGGCCUCCCAAGAGAAAGACCGUCUGCCCUCUCCCCAGCUCUCUCAGUUGCCUUUCUGUUUUGGAUUUUUUGAGACAGGACCUUGCAAUGCAGUUCAGGCCGGCCUUCUCACAAUGUAGCCCACAGUGAUUUCUUCUGCCUCGGCCUUCUGAGUGCUGGGAGUACAGCGCACAUCUGUAACUCAGCCUCACAUGCCGGUCUCCCUGGAGAAGCCCUCUGUGCCUGGCUCAUCAUUUUCGUCCAGGCUGUAGAAGCGUCAGCUCCCGGGGUGGCAUUUACCCUGUGCAACCCCCCUCUAGCUAAGAACUCUGUCCCGUUACCCAUGGUUCAUCGGGACCUGCACUAGGUGGGUGGGAGCCUAGGAGCCCGGAGCAGCGAACAUCCAAAGGUGUCCCCAACGAGGCCAUAUCCCAGUGACCCUGUGCUUGGGCAGUGGCUCUUGCCCUAAUGUACCCUGCUUUUCUGGCACAUUUGAGCUCACAGAAUGAAGAGGAAAUGGUGCUUUUCCAGUCUGGGCCGAAGCUUUAAGACCUGGUGGGUUCUGGUUUUACACUCACAGGGGCCCUAAGCCACUGGUGCAAGAAACUCAGCUGCCCUGAGGAAGUACGAGCUGAGGCCAGGAGAGGCCUUGUGGAGGAGAAGUGAGAAUCUUGGCCAACACCGAAGGCUGGGGCUCCAAGCUCAUGACUUCAUGCGAGCCGUGACAGCGGGCCCCCACCCACUUGUGUUUGCAGAGGCCCCCUAAGCUUCCGCAGAACAUUUCCACACUCCAGCCACUCUCCUUUGUACUAUCUGGACACAAGCAAGGAAGAGGUUUCCCCUCUUUCCCGACACCCCGAGGCUCUGAGGCACUUCACAAAGGUAACGUUCGUGGGUGACUCAGAAGUGGAAUCCCUGGGUCAAGAAUGCAGACACGUCUGGGCUUUGUAAGAGCCCAAGGAGAGAUGAAACAGCCCCGGUCUCUCCCAGUGUGCACUUUCCUGCCCAAGAUCUGAACCUUUGCUGACUUUUAACAGGAACUGUGUUAAAAGCUGACCCUCGGCAUCUGUCACCAGCCCUCUAAAAUGUUACAUUAGGUUUAGUCUUCACAUGGCAUACUACUGCGUGGGUUGCCCCCAGCUCGGGGGUGCUUGCUGAGUCUUGGAGGAUCACAAGAGCUCAGCCCCAGUCACCCGUGGGAUCCAGCUGAUUAAAAAAGCCUCCUAUCCAGUUGUCUCUGGGCAUCACGGCCUCUGCGCAUCACUGUUGUCUGACUGUGUUUCGGCUCCAGAAUUCUUAAAACCUGUUCUGGUUCUGGGGCUGCCCAUUCGACAAUGGUAAAUAAAAGCCU